UACGUAGGGUGCGAGCGUUACUCGGAAUUACUGGGCGUAAAGCGUGCGCAGGCGGUUUUGUAAGUCUGUCGUGAAAGCCCCGGGCUCAACCUGGGAAUUGCGAUGGAGACUGCAAGGCUUGAAUCUGGCAGAGGGGGGUAGAAUUCCACGUGUAGCAGUGAAAUGCGUAGAGAUGUGGAGGAACACCGAUGGCGAAGGCAGCCCCCUGGGUCAAGAUUGACGCUCAUGCACGAAAGCGUGGGGAGCAAACAGG
rnacentral:rRNA from 1 species